AUUUUUUUUAUUUUCUGCACUUUGUUGUUAAAGGAUAUUCAGAAGCAAGUGGAACUGAUAGCUACAAAGCUCAACUCCUCCUCAGCUGGUGGUCCUGUGUAUGGUAUUCAAAACCGGUACAUUGCACAUUUUACAGCUUCGUCUGCCAUGGGGUACACUGGGGGAGUCCUAACCUUUGAGCAAUCAGUUGGCUUGGCCUUCAGCACAAAGCUUAUGGCUGAUGGGAACAACCGUCCAGACAAGACGAACCUGACAGUCCCUCAAGAUGGUAUUUACUUUGUAUACAGCCAGGUCACGAUCAAAAACAGCUCCAGCUCUGUCCAGGUGUGCAUCAGAAAGGACAGCAAGAGCUACAGAGAUACCGUGACGCUCAUGAAAGCCAGAUCCGGCUCGGACAGAGGGGAUUCCAUUUUCCAGGCAGGGAUCUUUGAGCUCCUUGCUGAGGACAAGCUUUAUGUGGAGCUCCAAGGCUACAAGUUGGACACAGUGUCAGUGUCCAAAGAAGAAGCUGAAACUUUCUUUGGAGUGUUUCAACUGCAAGGCGCAGAUGAAGAAUAAUGUGGCACCUCAGCUACCCCAUGAAAUUUCCAAGGCCACAAGACUCCUUUCAGCCCUCAGAGUCAGAACUGACUCAUCUCUGCUACCACAAACAGUUCUCAGUUCCUUUCUCGUUUGUUUUUGUGUUUCACUUUUUAAAAGUAAGAAAUUCUUAUCGUUGGACGUACUUUGAAUUUCCUUCGCCUGUUUUCCCUUUGAAUUUCGGAUGUAUUCCCCUUGCACUUUGAAUAUUUGGCAGAAUUUUGUGAAGAAAAACAUCAUGUUUUUCCACAUAUUGUUUCUUUCUAGCUGCUAUUUAAUUGGAAAUGCAGACAUCGAUGUACCUCAUUCAAAUUUGUAUGUAAAACUGUAUGUUGAAUAACCACAUAGCUCUUAGUUUAAUUUGUUGUUUAACCAGUGUGGAAAAUCAUUCGAAUUUAAAACUCUUUAAGGUCUGGGCCGUCUUUGACUGCAGAGUGUUAUAAAAUGGUGGCAAAGGUACUUAACACAUUUGUGGGCACAAACUGUUUUGUGAAAAGUGAAAAAAAUCUCUUAAAAUAAACCUAU